rnacentral:rRNA from 1 species
AUUGAACGCUGGCGACAGGCCUAACACAUGCAAGUCGAGCGGAUGACGGGAGCUUGCUCCUUGAUUCAGCGGCGGACGGGUGAGUAAUGCCUAGGAAUCUGCCUGGUAGUGGGGGACAACGUUUCGAAAGGAACGCUAAUACCGCACACGUCCUACGGGCGAAAGCAGGGGACCUUCGGGCCUUGCGCUAUCAGAUGAGCCUAGGUCGGAUUAGCUAGUUGGCGGGGGAAUGGCUCACCAAGGCGACGACCCGUAACUGGUCUGAGAGGAUGAUCAGUCACACUGGAACUGAGACACGGUCCAGACUCCUACGGGAGGCAGCAGUGGGGAAUAUUGGACAAUGGGCGAAAGCCUGAUCCAGCCAUGCCGCGUGUGUGAAGAAGGUCUUCGGAUUGUAAAGCACUUUAAGUUGGGAGGAAGGGCAGUAAGUUAAUACCUUGCUGUUUUGACGUUACCGACAGAAUAAGCACCGGCUAACUCUGUGCCAGCAGCCGCAGUAA